AGAGUUUGAUCAUGGCUCAGGACGAACGCUGGCGGCGUGCCUAAUACAUGCAAGUCGAGCGGACAGAUGGGAGCUUGCUCCCUGAUGUUAGCGGCGGACGGGUGAGUAACACGUGGGUAACCUGCCUGUAAGACUGGGAUAACUCCGGGAAACCGGGGCUAAUACCGGAUGCUUGUUUGAACCGCAUGGUUCAAACAUAAAAGGUGGCUUCGGCUACCACUUACAGAUGGACCCGCGGCGGGUGAUCGGCCACACUGGGACUGAGACACGGCCCAGACUCCUACGGGAGGCAGCAGCAGGCAUUAGCUAGUUGGUGAGGUAAUGGCUCACCAAGGCAACGAUGCGUAGCCGACCUGAGAGGAAUCUUCCGCAAUGGACGAAAGUCUGACGGAGCAACGCCGCGUGAGUGAUGAAGGUUUUCGGAUCGUAAAGCUCUGUUGUUAGGGAAGAACAAGUGCCGUUCAAAUAGGGCGUCACCUUGACGGUACCUAACCAGAAAGCCACGGCUAACUACGUGCCAGCAGCCGCGGUAAUACGUAGGUGGCAAGCGUUGUCCGGAAUUAUUGGGCGUAAAGGGCUCGCAGGCGGUUUCUUAAGUCUGAUGUGAAAGCCCCCGGCUCAACCCGGGAGGGUCAUUGGAAACUGGGGAACUUGAGUGCAGAAGAGGAGAGUGGAAUUCCACGUGUAGCGGUGAAAUGCGUAGAGAUGUGGAGGAACACCAGUGGCGAAGGCGACUCUCUGGUCUGUAACUGACGCUGAGGAGCGAAAGCGUGGGGAGCGAACAGGAUUAGAUACCCUGGUAGUCCACGCCGUAAACGAUGAGUGCUAAGUGUUAGGGGGUUUCCGCCCCUUAGUGCUGCAGCUAACGCAUUAAGCACUCCGCCUGGGGAGUACGGUCGCAAGACUGAAACUCAAAGGAAUUGACGGGGGCCCGCACAAGCGGUGGAGCAUGUGGUUUAAUUCGAAGCAACGCGAAGAACCUUACCAGGUCUUGACAUCCUCUGACAACCCUAGAGAUAGGGCUUCCCCUUCGGGGGCAGAGUGACAGGUGGUGCAUGGUUGUCGUCAGCUCGUGUCGUGAGAUGUUGGGUUAAGUCCCGCAACGAGCGCAACCCUUGAUCUUAGUUGCCAGCAUUCAGUUGGGCACUCUAAGGUGACUGCCGGUGACAAACCGGAGGAAGGUGGGGAUGACGUCAAAUCAUCAUGCCCCUUAUGACCUGGGCUACACACGUGCUACAAUGGACAGAACAAAGGGCAGCGAGACCGCGAGGUUAAGCCAAUCCCACAAACCUGUUCUCAGUUCGGAUCGCAGUCUGCAACUCGACUGCGUGAAGACGGAAUCGCUAGUAAU
rnacentral:rRNA from 1 species